CCCCAUCCUCCUACUGGCUGGGCUUGCCUCUCUCUACCUCCUUCUAAAGACCCAGGGUGCUCUUCACCGGGCGUCCUGGGGAUUUAGGACUUUUACUUUGAAAAAAUUAGAGUGUUCAAAGCAGGCUCAUCUUCGCUUGAAUACAUUAGCAUGGAAUAAUGAAAUAGGACUUUGGUUCUAUUUUGUUGGCUUCUAGGACCGAAGUAAUGAUUAAUAGGGAUAGUUGGGGUGGUUAGUAUUUAAUUGUCAGAGGUGAAAUUCUUGGAUUUAUGAAAGACUAACUUCUGCGAAAGCAUUCCACAAGGAUGUUUUCAUUAAUCAAGAACGAAAGUUAGGGGAUCGAAGAUGAUCAGAUACCGUCGUAGUCUUAACCAUAAACUAUGCCGACUAGGGAUCGGUGGAUGUUAUUUUUCAUGACUCCAUCGGCACCUUACUGAGAAAUCACAAGUCUUUGGGUUCCGGGGGGAGUAUGGUCGCAAGGCUGAAACUUAAAGGAAUUGACGGAAGGGCACCACCAGGAGUGGAGCCUGCGGCUUAAUUUGACUCAACACGGGGAAACUCACCAGGUCCAGACAUGGGAAGGAUUGACAGAUUGAGAGCUCUUUCUUGAUUCUAUGGGUGGUGGUGCAUGGCCGUUCUUAGUUGGUGGAGUGAUCUGUCUGGUUAAUUCCGAUAACGAACGAGACCUUAACCUGCUAAAUAGUUACGCGAACUCAGCCCUGGGGAAGGGGUGGGGGGUUUCGGCCUCCCUCCUCGCUUCCCAGGGCGGUUCUGCGGUUUUCAACAACUUCUUAGAGGGACUGUCGGUGUUUAACCGACGGAAGUUUGAGGCAAUAACAGGUCUGUGAUGCCCUUAGAUGUCCUGGGCUGCACGCGCGCUACACUGAUGAAGUCAGCGAGUUUUAUCACACCUUGUUCGGAAGGACAUUUUUCUGGGUAAUCUUCUGAAACUUCAUCGUGCUGGGGAUAGAUCAUUGCAAUUAUUGAUCUUCAACGAGGAAUUCCUAGUAAGCGCGAGUCAUCAGCUCGCGUUGAUUACGUCCCUGCCCUUUGUACACACCGCCCGUCGCUACUACCGAUUGAAUGGUUUAGUGAGAUCUUUGGACCGGCGCAACGCAGCUGUCUGACAGCAGCGAUGCACUGGGAAGCUGAUCAAACUUGAUCAUUUAGAGGAAGUAAAAGUCGUAACAAGGUUUCCGUAGGUGAACCUGCGGAAGGAUCA
rnacentral:rRNA from 1 species